rnacentral:rRNA from 1 species
AUUGAACGCUGGCGGCAUGCCUUACACAUGCAAGUCGAACGGCAGCGCGGACUUCGGUCUGGCGGCGAGUGGCGAACGGGUGAGUAAUGUAUCGGAACGUACCAUUCAGUGGGGGAUAACGCAGCGAAAGUUGCGCUAAUACCGCAUAUUCUGUGCGCAGGAAAGCAGGGGAUCGCAAGACCUUGCGCUGAUUGAGCGGCCGAUAUCAGAUUAGCUAGUUGGUGAGGUAAAGGCUCACCAAGGCGACGAUCUGUAGCGGGUCUGAGAGGAUGAUCCGCCACACUGGAACUGAGACACGGUCCAGACUCCUACGGGAGGCAGCAGUGGGGAAUUUUGGACAAUGGGCGCAAGCCUGAUCCAGCCAUGCCGCGUGAGUGAAGAAGGCCUCGGUUGUAAG